UACGUAGGGCGCAAGCGUUGUCCGGAAUUAUUGGGCGUAAAGAGCUCGUAGGCGGCUUGUCACGUCGAUUGUGAAAGCCCGAGGCUUAACCUCGGGUCUGCAGUCGAUACGGGCUAGCUAGAGUGUGGUAGGGGAGAUCGGAAUUCCUGGUGUAGCGGUGAAAUGCGCAGAUAUCAGGAGGAACACCGAUGGCGAAGGCAGGUCUCUGGGCUGUAACUGACGCUGAGGAGCGAAAGCAUGGGGAGCGAACAGG
rnacentral:rRNA from 1 species